UACGAAGGGGGGCUAGCGUUGUUCGGAAUUACUGGGCGUAAAGCGCGCGCAGGCGGUUCUCCCAAGUCAGUGGUGAAAGCCCGGAGCUCAACUCCGGAACUGCCAUUGAAACUGUUGAACUUGAGGACGAGAGAGGUGAGUGGAAUUCCCAGUGUAGAGGUGAAAUUCGUAGAUAUUGGGAAGAACACCAGUGGCGAAGGCGGCUGUCUGGUCCGGUUCUGACGCUGAGGAGCGAAAGCAUGGGGAGCGAACAGG
rnacentral:rRNA from 1 species